UAUUAUUUUUGAUGUUAAUUAUUUAACUUGAGUAGUAAUAGAUAUGGUCUUGAAACUUAAAGAAUUUGGCAGUAUUUUAUUCUGUUCAGAGGAACCUGUUCUUUUAUCGAUAAUCCUCGUUGGACCUUACUUAAUUUAUUGAUUUGUAUACCGCCGUUUUAUUGAGAAUCUUUAUAGUGUUUUUUAAUUUUCUGGUUUUUAUUAAAAAUUAUUUCAGGUCAAGGUGCAAUUUAUGAUUAAGUAGAAAUGGGUUACAUUUAUAUUUAUUUUUGGAUUAUUAAAUGAAAUUUUAAUAUGAAAGUGGAUUUGAAUGUAAUUAUUAUUUUAGAUUAUAUUAAUGAUUUAGUUUCUGGAGUGUGUACACAUCGCCCGUCACUCUCGUUAUUUAUUCGAG
rnacentral:rRNA from 2 species